GCACAAGCGGUGGAGCAUGUGGUUUAAUUCGAUGCAACGCGAAGAACCUUACCUGGGCUUGACAUCCCGGGAAUCCCUUGGAAACAAGGGAGUGCCUUCGGGGAACCUGGAGACAGGUGCUGCAUGGCUGUCGUCAGCUCGUGUCGUGAGAUGUAGGGUUAAGUCCCGCAACGAGCGCAACCCUUGUCUUAAUUGCCAUCAUUGAGUUGGGCACUUUAAAGAGACUGCCGGUGUUAAACCGGAGGAAGGUGGGGAUGACGUCAAGUCCUCAUGGCCUUUAUGCCCAGGGCUACACACGUGCUACAAUGGGUGGUACAACGAGUUGCGAGUCGGUGACGGCGAGCUAAUCUCUUAAAGCCAAUCUCAGUUCGGAUUGUAGGCUGCAACUCGCCUACAUGAAGUCGGAAUCGCUAGUAAUCGCGGAUCAGCACGCCGCGGUGAAUACGUUCCCGGGCCUU
rnacentral:rRNA from 1 species